AGAGCAGGAAGAAACUACCUGAAAUUUCUGCCACAACGUGCUCAACACCCUGGGAGGAAACCCCCAGGGGGAGGGACUACUGUAUGAAGGGUGCCAGGGUACACGGAGGGAAGACAUAACAUCUGAAGCCAUGGCAGCCAUCUUGUGAUGAUGGGGUAACAAAAUAGCAAAAAAAUCAAAAUGUGAAGGAGAGCAGAACAGAAUGACGGGAAUACCCUGGAUCUUUGAAGAUGUCAGUGGGCUGACCUCUAUCUCUCAACUUCAUCAACCUCUGCCCCACACAGAUGAGCAGCUAGCCUGGCCCAAAACUAGAACCCAC